ACCUGGCUGGCUCAGUCAGUAGAGCCCAUGACUCUUGAUCUUGGGGUCAUGAGUUCAAGUCCCACGUUGGGGG
rfam:Ailuropoda melanoleuca scaffold317_59, whole genome shotgun sequence.